rnacentral:rRNA from 1 species
AUGAUCAAAGAUUGGCUCGGUCUCCAUGAUGUGCAUUUUAGUGAUUGGAGUGCCGCAACUUCCGUUAAAGAGUGGUGGAGCCACAAUGCUACCAAGAAGACACAAUUGCGAAGACCACUUGCUUCCUUGAUGCUUCUUAUCUCUUGGGAGUUGUGGAAUGAGAGGAAUGCGCGGAUCUUUCGUAAUACCGCUGUCCCGGUUGGAGUCAUUGUUGCUAGGAUUAAAAAGGAGGCGUCACUUUGGAGCAUGGCGGGGGCGAGGCACUUGAGUAACAUAAUGCCGCGAGAGUGA